UGCCAGACUCCUACGGGAGGCAGCAGUGGGGGAUAUUGGACAAUGGGGGGAACCCUGAUCCAGCGACGCCGCGUGAGUGAAGAAGUAUCUCGGUAUGUAAAGCUCUAUCAGCAGGGAAGAAAGAAAUGACGGUACCUGAGUAAGAAGCCCCGGCUAACUACGUGCCAGCAGCCGCGGUAAUACGUAGGGGGCAAGCGUUAUCCGGAAUUACUGGGUGUAAAGGGAGCGUAGACGGUGAAGUAAGUCUGGAGUGAAAGGCGGGGCCCAACCCCCGGACUGCUCUGGAAACUAUUUGGCUGGAGUGCAGGAGAGGUAAGCGGAAUUCCUAGUGUAGCGGUGAAAUGCGUAGAUAUUAGGAGGAACACCAGUGGCGAAGGCGGCUUACUGGACUGUAACUGACGUUGAGGCUCGAAAGCGUGGGGAGCAAACAGGAUUAGAUGCCCCGGUAC
rnacentral:rRNA from 1 species